rnacentral:tRNA from 1 species
GCCUUCGUGGUGUAAGGGUUAUACACUUGGAGCUUAUUCAAGAGGUCCAGGUUCGAAUCCCGGCGAGGGCA